rnacentral:misc_RNA from 1 species
UACGGAGGGUGCAAGCGUUAAUCGGAAUUACUGGGCGUAAAGCGCGCGCAGGCGGAUUGGCUAGUCAGAUGUGAAAUCCCGGGGCUCAACCCCGGAACUGCGUCUGAAACUGCUAGUCUAGAGUCUCAUAGGGGGCAGGGGAAUUUCACGUGUAGGGGUGAAAUCCGUAGAGAUGUGAAGGAACACCCGUGGCGAAGGCGCCUGCCUGGAUGAGUACUGACGCUGAGGCGCGAAAGCGUGGGGGGCAAACAGG